ACACUAAAACUCAAUAUUUUAUCAUGGCAUCCCCGCAAUGAAGCGUCCUGGAAGUGACAGAGGGGAUGUGUUAAGCUUCUCUCUGAUCAAACUGACCGUUGUCACUGGCUCAGUUUUGAAUUUCACCCUGUGUCGUGAAGUGAAAUGUAAUUGUGAAGUGUAAUGAAUUUUGUUGCUGAAGAAAAUAAUUGGCUCUAAUGAAUGAAUCCGGGUUGCUGGAUGAGUUGGGUGACCCUGAAUCUACCCAUUAGAUACGUAAGGCGUUUUUGACUAAGCUGAUAUGUAAUUAGUCCUCCUAAUUAUAUGACGACAUUUUAUAAAUGUUCCAAGUAACGAGAUAUCGAGUGCCACAGAAUGCUGUCCUGUUAUUUUAUUUUGAGCUAAACUACCACAUUCAGCAUCUCUACACUCGACCCGCGACCCCAAGAACCAGUGUUCUUCUACUCUAGACUUGGUAAUAUUAGUCCCUACAUUGCAAGUUACAUCGAUAGAGUGAAGCCAAGAGGAGAAAAAAUUAUAUUGAUAAAUAUUAUAAUAUAUAGAUAUAAUUUAAAAAUUUCCAAGAAAAAUCCAAAUCAUAUUGUUCACAUUCCAGUUUUCUUACGGCAGCAAAAAUGUAGCCGACGAGGCUACUCUAUGUAAUAAACUAUUUAUAUAUAUAAUCCUGGUCACGGCACCAAAAAUGUACCUUACCCUAUCUACUACUAAACUAAUUAACUAAAAUUCAACCAGGAUUAAAUAAAAAUAGGAAAAUAAAUAAAUUUGGCCAUGUGAUCGUCUAGUGUAUUUACGUUGUGAACCUUAGUACCCUUCGUCUUUUAUGUGAAAACUGAUACGAUUUGGAUUUUUCAAAACUAUCCCUAAAUAUCCUAUGAAUUUGUAAAUAUUCCUACUGUAUAUUUUUAUUAACACUAUUGUUAGACAAAUAAAAAAAAUAGUAAAUAAUAUAUAUUUUUUAGAAUUUAUCUCCUACCGGGCCCU